UGUAAUUUGGAGAGUACCACUUUGGGACUGUACUUUGCCUAUGUUCCUUGGAACAGGACGUCAUGGAGGGUGAGAAUCCCGUGUGGCGAGGGUGUCAGUUCUUUGUAAAGGGUGCUCGAAGAGUCGAGUUGUUUGGGAAUGCAGCUCUAAGUGGGUGGUAAAUUCCAUCUAAAGCUAAAUACAGGCGAGAGACCGAUAGCGAACAAGUACAGUGAUGGAAAGAUGAAAAGAACUUUGAAAAGAGAGUGAAAAAGUACGUGAAAUUGUUGAAAGGGAAGGGCAUUUGAUCAGACAUGGUGUUUUGCGCCCCUUGCCUCUCGUGGGCUUGGGACUCUCGCAGCUCACUGGGCCAGCAUCGGUUUUGGCGGCCGGAAAAAACCUAGGGAAUGUGGCUCUGCGCCUCGGUGUAGAGUGUUAUAGCCCUGGGGAAUACGGCCAGCCGGGACCGAGGACUGCGAUACUUGUUAUCUAGGAUGCUGGCAUAAUGGGUUAUAUGCCGGCCCGUCUUGA
rnacentral:rRNA from 1 species